rnacentral:lncRNA from 1 species
GGUCUGUCCCUGUCCACAGCCCACUUCCGACUGCGGGAAUCAGAACUCACUGGUUCAGUCUGUACUGAUCCUGGGACUACAGCGUACCCGCACUAGAAGACCGCAUGUGUGAAAUCCUGAACCAGCGUCCAAAGCCUGUGGGAGAUGAGGUGGCUCGCAGAACCUUCCAGAAAUGCCAUGUAGGUUGGAAACAGUUCCUCUUUAGCGUCCUGUUCCCUUCUUGUAACAUCUGGUGCUGCUGAAGUCCACCUGAGAUACCUAAGAGUCAGACAUUGGCCUGUAUUAGCUCCAGGAUGAUGUGGUGAGGGUCGACGUAUUCUAAAAUCACAACCUCUAAAGACUCUCUUCUAUGAGACAUUUCACCUUAUUGGACCUGAAUUCUCUGCCGUGAGAACAACUGUUGUAGGGGGAGAUGUUGGCGUGAGGCGAGAGUGAGAAGACUGGAGCCUGGGUAACCUCGGUAGGAUCAAAUGGUCUCUGAAACUGUCAUUUGUAAAGUCAAUAUGAAAAUAUCAAACAUUUACAGAUGCCAAAUAGGCCUCUGAUAUCUGCAGGGUAGAAAGAAAACCAAUACAUCCCAGUUUGUGCCAGAUGUGAGGUCAACUCCAACAUGAAAAGCCCCAGCGAGGAGCAGCGACAUCCAAGUGAGGGCGCCAUCAGAAGUGGUGUGUGUCAGAGGAGGAACAGAAUGUACAAGCUAUGGCUGCAACCAUGUCAAGGCACCGCCAUUUGCCAUAUAAACCUCAUCUCCUGAGCCUUGUAACCACCUGAACACCUGCACAGGCUUGUCACACAGUUUCCAGGCUGCUGACUUCUUCAUAUCCAGAAACAAACAUAAAGAUAAACCAGGAAAAUUAUCACCAAGCCACUGCUCAUUGAGUCCUUAGCCGCCUCCAUUCUCCACUAUCUUGGUGCCACUAAACUGUCCAUCUGCACUAAACUGCCUACUUAGUGACCAUAUGGACUGUGCUUCGUUUGAUACUGAAUCUUCAGAGCCUGCAGUAAUGUCUGGCAGACGAUUGUCACUCCAUAAAUGCAUUUGGAAAAGCACACACGCAUGCUUACCUAAUUAAAAUCUUCAUGAGCAUGACGGUAACUUUCAUAAGAAGGUUCCCACUCGGUUUAUCAUUUGAGACCAUGUAACCAGGAUUGUUAACCUCUGGAAAUGAAGUUCUCACAGAUAUUCCUUCAGUAAAAGAAUCUUAGGUAACCUCCUACCAGCCUUCCUGUCCACCCACCAGAAAAUACAUCCAUCCCACUAAGAUGGUACAAGCAUGGGUCCUAGCUUUGUUAUGUCUUGGCUUCCACAACCUUUUCUCUAACUACCUUAGCCUGCCAUCCACAGUCUGCACGUAGUCACCUUUGAUAUAGACUGCCCUGUGUUAUUUCUUUCUAAGCAUGUCAUUGCUGUCAGGAUUUCCACACCUACAUAUCCCAAGGGAAUAGGGACAGGAUUUUACCUUUAAUACAUGUUAUAAUGAUUUUCAUGUACUAGACCUUCAGUGAACACUUUUUUUUGGAGAAAAAGAAAAUUUAAAUAAAGAGUGUUUGGGAAGGACAUUAUUAAAUCAUAAGUUAAGAUGCUGGAGAGAUGGCUCAGUGGUUAGGAGCACUGGCUGCUCUUCUAGAGGAGCUAUGUUGGUUCCCACCCCAUCCCCCACUUAGUAACUAACAACCAUUCAAACUCCAGCCCCAGGGAAUCUGACACACUCUUCAGGCCUCUGUAGACCCCAGGCAUGUAGGUAGUGUGCAUAAAUACAUUUAAACAAGAUAAUUAUAUACAUAAAAUAAAAGUAUUUUUUAAUAAAAAGAUGGUUGACUUCUCGUCCCAGGUCAACCAACUCAACAUUGUUCUUCACUUUUCCAUUGGCAAACUGGGAACAAAGCAGACCCAUUACAGACACUCGAACACACACUUGAGUUUUGUGGUGAUAAUGAGUUAUGUGUGUUUAGUAUAAUUGUUUGCCUAUGCAUUUAUCAGAAGCAGCUCAAAUUCUCAAGCUCAUAGGUAGCAGGCUAGUCAAGUGAUUUCAAGAGCUCAGAAGCAAGUCACUAGCUGCUGACUAAUCCCGCCUGUGUAAGGCUCAUCUGUUGGAAUCUGCCCUCUGAGUUAUGCCAGCCUAGGGCACCCGGGCUGAUGGUGGUGUUAUAAUCAGUCAUUUAAAAAGAAAAAUACAUCUACCUUUGCAGACUCAGUUCUUUCACAGAUUAAUUUCUCCAUUAAUAUCUUAAAUAUAAGUAUUUUAGAAGAAAGGAUAAUAACACAGGUUCUGUUUGUGGAGUCAUUUUCUGAAGAAAAAAAAAUAAACACAGUCAAGGUCAUUGA